AGAGUUUGAUCCUGGCUCAGAUUGAACGCUGGCGGCAUGCCUUACACAUGCAAGUCGAACGGUAACGCGGGGCAACCUGUCGACGAGUGGCGAACGGGUGAGUAAUAUAUCGGAACGUGCCCAGUAGUGGGGGAUAGCCCGGCGAAAGCCGGAUUAAUACCGCAUGAGACCUGAGGGUGAAAGCGGUGGAUCGCAAGACCUCGCGCUAUUGGAGCGGCCGAUAUCAGAUUAGGUAGUUGGUGGGGUAAAAGCCUACCAAGCCGACGAUCUGUAGCUGGUCUGAGAGGACGACCAGCCACACUGGGACUGAGACACGGCCCAGACUCCUACGGGAGGCAGCAGUGGGGAAUUUUGGACAAUGGGCGCAAGCCUGAUCCAGCCAUGCCGCGUGCGGGAAGAAGGCCUUCGGGUUGUAAACCGCUUUUGUCAGGGAAGAAAUCCUUUGGGUUAAUACCUCGGAGGGAUGACGGUACCUGAAGAAUAAGCACCGGCUAACUACGUGCCAGCCGCCGCGGUAAUACA
rnacentral:rRNA from 1 species